rnacentral:rRNA from 1 species
GAUGAACGCUGGCGGCGUGCUUAACACAUGCAAGUCGAACGGAAAGGCCCAAGCUUGCUUGGGUACUCGAGUGGCGAACGGGUGAGUAACCCGUGGGUGAUCUGCCCUGCACUUCGGGAUAAGCCUGGGAAACUGGGUCUAAUACCGGAUAGGUCCACUUUUUGGAUGGUGUGGUGGAUAGUUUUUCGGUUUGGGAUGAGGUAGCGGAGUAUCAGCUUGUUGUUGGGGUAAUGGCCUACCAAGGCGUAGACGGGUAGCCGGCCUGAGAGAGUGUACGGCCACAUUGGACUCGAGAGGGGGGCCAGAGUCCUGCGGGAGGCAGCAGGGGGGAAUAUUGGACAAAGGGCGGAAGCGUGAGGGAGGGAGGCCGCGUGGGGGAUGACGGCCUUCGGGAUGUAAGAUCCUAUCGCUAGGGAAGAAGCGUUUUUGUGACGGUACCUGGAGAAGAAGCACCGGCUAACUACGUG